GACGAACGCUGGCGGCGUGCUUAACACAUGCAAGUCGAACGGAAAGGCCCUGCUUGCAGGGUACUCGAGUUGCGAACGGGUGAGUAACACGUGGGUGGUCUGCCCUGCACUUCGGGAUAAGCCUGUGAAACUGGGUCUAAUACCUGAUAGGAGCCAUUUUUAGUGUGAUGGUUGGAAAGUUUUUUCGGUGUAGGAUGAGCUCGCUGCCUAUCAGCUUGUUGGUGGGGUAAUGUCCUACCAAGGCGGCUACGGGUAGCGGGCCUGAGAGGGUGGACGGCGACAUUGGGACUGAGAUACGGCACAGACUCCUACGGGAGGCAGCAGUGCGGAAUCUUGCCCAAUGGGCGCAAGCCUGAUGCAGCGACGCCGCGUGGGGGAUGACGGUCUUCGGGUUGUAAACUACUUUCGCUAGUGACGAAGCUUUUUGUGACGGUACCUAGAUAAGAAGCAACGGCUAACUACGUG
rnacentral:rRNA from 1 species